UCCUAUGGGGGGCAGCAGUGGGGAAUAUUGCGCAAUGGGCGAAAGCCUGACGCAGCGACGCCGCGUGAGGGAUGAAGGUCUUCGGACCGUCCCCAUCUGCCCUCCUUGAAGAACUUUCCCUGCUCUCAUCAGCAGCGAAUUCCCGCUACCUGCAAAGGAAGCACCCGCCACAUCGUCGACAGCAGCCGCGGUAAUACGGAGGGUGCGAGCGAUCCCCGGAAUUACUGGGCGUAAAGCGCUCGUAGGCGGUAUGUCAAGCCC
rnacentral:rRNA from 1 species